UACGUAGGGUCCGAGCGUUGUCCGGAAUUAUUGGGCGUAAAGAGCUCGUAGGCGGUUUGUCGCGUCUGCCGUGAAAGUCCGGGGCUCAACUCCGGAUCUGCGGUGGGUACGGGCAGACUAGAGUGAUGUAGGGGAGACUGGAAUUCCUGGUGUAGCGGUGAAAUGCGCAGAUAUCGGAGGAGAACCACAUGGCGAAGGCAGCUCGCUGGGACGUACUGACGCUGAGACGCGAAAGCGUGGGAGCAAACAGG
rnacentral:rRNA from 1 species